rnacentral:rRNA from 1 species
GUGGGGAAUAUUGGACAAUGGGCGAAAGCCUGAUCCAGCCAUGCCGCGUGUGUGAAGAAGGUCUUCGGAUUGUAAAGCACUUUAAGUUGGGAGGAAGGGUAGUAACCUAAUACGUUGCUACUUUGACGUUACCGACAGAAUAAGCACCGGCUAACUUCGUGCCAGCAGCCGCGGUAAUACGAAGGGUGCAAGCGUUAAUCGGAAUUACUGGGCGUAAAGCGCGCGUAGGUGGUUCAGUAAGUUGGAAGUGAAAUCCCCGGGCGCAACCUGGGAACUGCUUUCAAAACUGCUGAGCUAGAGUACGGUAGAGGGUUGUGGAAUUUCCUGUGUAGCGGUGAAAUGCGUAGAUAUAGGAAGGAACACCAGUGGCGAAGGCGACCACCUGGACUGAUACUGACACUGAGGUGCGAAAGCGUGGGGAGCAAACAGGAUUAGAUACCCGUGUAGUCC